AUUGAACGCUGGCGGCAUGCCUAACACAUGCAAGUCGAGCGAGCGGCGGACGGGUGAGUAAUGUAUGGGGACUGCCCGAUAGAGGGGGAUCACUACUGGAAACGGUGGCUAAUACCGCAUACUGUCGGCUUACUCAUAUGGGAUUAGCUAGUAGGUAAGGUAAUGGCUUACCUAGGCUACGAUCCCUAGCUGGUCUGCGAGGCUGAUCAGCCACACGGGGACUGAGACACGGCCCAGACUCCUACGGAGGCAGCAGUGGGGAAUAUUGCGCAAUGGGCGCAAGCCUGAUGCAGCCAUGCCGCGUGUAUGAAGAAGGCCCUAGGGUUGUAAAGUACUUUCAGUCGGGAGGCGUUACCGACAGAAGAAGCACCGGCUAACUCCGUGCCAGCAGCCGCGGUAAUAC
rnacentral:rRNA from 1 species